ensembl:lincRNA
CUCCAGGGUAUGAGGACUGCCUUUCCAUGUCUUCCUCCCUUCCACCAUUAAGUUGGUGGUUGAGAAAUUUCUCAGAAAAGAAUUAAGAAUCUUACAUGGUGGUAGAGCUUUUUUUUUUUUUUUUUCUUUGAAGGUGGGUGGUGGUGGGAAGAGAUGGCAAUCUUCCUGUCUUGGAUCUUGUUUCCUGGGAAACCUCCACAGAGACUACCAGUUGACCGGCCCCCCGGCCAAUCAUCUAAGACUUUCGGACCUACUUCCUGUUCCAGAUCUGGCCAAUCAGCACAUUCCAUUCCCUGGGCCCCAGUGAUAGGCUCAGGGGUGGUCAUGUGACUCAAGACAGUCCAACGGACUCAACACUCCUUGGACUCUGGCUAGAGCAGAGCUCUGUUUCACUGGAGUUGCUGAACUGGUAAGACCUCUGUUGGGAGCUGGUGGUGGGCAUCUUGCCACCCUGAGAGAUGGAUCUGCCUGUAAAUGAAGCCAAUACAAGCAGAACAACGAGGAGAAUAGGGACUGGUUUAAGUUACUCUGCACUGGUCUCCGUGUCUGGACUAGGAGGUAUCUGUUCCCACACCCCCAUCAACACCUCUCUCAGUGAGGGCAUGGAAUAAAGAUGCUGGAAAACAAGAGACAAAGGUUCAUUCUUGGUUUUGUGACACUGCCCGGUCAGGACACUGGUGAAAAAUGGGCUGAACUCACCAGAUACCACUGAACAUUAGAGGGUGUAUCUCCCCUCCCCACCCUCCUGUUUCCCAGAUCUGUUUUUCCUUCCACAAAACGGG